rnacentral:rRNA from 1 species
UACGUAGGUGGCAAGCGUUACUCGGAAUCACUAGGCGUAAAGCGCAGGUAGGUGGUGUGGUAAGUUUCUCGUGAAAGCUCCCGGCUCAACUGGGAGAGGUCAAGGAAUACUGCCAUGCUAGAGUGUGGUAGAGGAAGCUAGAAUUCCCGGUGUAGCGGUGAAAUGCGUAGAUAUCGGGAGGAAUACCUAUGGCGAAAGCAGGCUUCUGGGCCAUCACUGACACUAAGCUGCGAAAGCUAGGGGAGCAAACAGG